GUGAAGCGAAAGUAAUGAGUCGUGGAGGCCCGAACCUUUCACUGUUACAAAAGUUGUAGGAUGAGCUGUGGGUAGAGGUGAAAUGCCAAACGAACUUGGAGAUAGCUGGUUCUCCCCGAAAUAGCUCUAGGGCUAGCCUCGGGAAGUGAGUGGCGGAGGUAGAGCACUGGAUUGACUAGGGGGCGUAGAGCUUACCAAACCAAACCAAACUCCGAAUGCCGCCAUAUCGUAUCCCGGGAGUCGGACGGUGUGAGAUGAGUUUCAUCGUCGAAAGGGAAACAGCCCAGAUCGCCAGCUAAGGUCCCUAAGUACAGGCUAAGUGGUAAAGGUUGUGGGAUUACUUGGACAGCCAGGAGGUUGGCUUAGAAGCAGCCAUCCUUCAAAGAGUGCGUAAUAGCUCACUGGUCGAGUGAUCCUGCGCCGAUAAUAUAGCGGGGCUCAAGCCUGACACCGAAGCUGCGAGAUCGGCUUUGCCGAUCGGUAGGGGAGCGUUCUGCUCGCUGCGAAGCUAGACCGUGAGGACUGGUGGAGCGUGCAGAAGUGAGAAUGCUGGCAUGAGUAGCGAGAAACGCGUGAGAAACGUGUUCGCCGUAAGUCUAAGGUUUCCUACGGAAGGUUAAUCCGCGUAGGGUUAGUCGGUCCUAAGCCGAGGCCGUGAGGCGUAGGUGAUGGACAACAGGUUAAUAUUCCUGUACCACGUCCGAUCGAUAAAGACACGAUGGGGGGGUGCGGAAGGGUAGGUCAGCCUGGGGUUGGUUGAAGCUCCUGCGGGAGCGCCAGGUGCUAAGCCUGUAGGGAGAUGAAGGCGGUAGGUAAAUCCGCUGCCCGAUCCCGAGGGGUGAUGGCGGUGCCUUUUAGGCCACAAGUGAUUGAGCCCAUGCUGCCGAGAAAAGCCUCUAGUGAGAUCGACGUGACCGUACCGCAAUCCGACACUGGUAGACGGGUUGAGUAUACCAAGGCGAUCGGGAGAACCCUCGUUAAGGAACUAGGCAAAAUGGCUUCGUAACUUCGGAAGAAGGAGCGCCUCGGUAGGGUAAGGCAUAUCCAUGUCCGAGCCCGAGGAGGUCGCAGUGAAGUGGCCCUGCCGACUGUUUAACAAAAGCACAGGUCUCUGCUAAAGCGUAAGCUGAUGUAUAGGGGCUGACGCCUGCCCAGUGCCGGAAGGUUAAGGGGAGAGGUUAGCGGCAACGCGAAGCUUUGAACCGAAGCCCCGGUGAACGGCGGCCGUAACUAUAACGGUCCUAAGGUAGCGAAAUUCCUUGUCUGGUAAGUUCAGACCCGCACGAAAGG
rnacentral:rRNA from 1 species